GAAGACAUACAAAUUAAAUGUCAACAUAAAAGUGCAAUAAAAUUUAUUGUAGAUACCACAUUAUCAAUACCAAGGAUUACACACAAAAAACCGCAUAACGCAUUCUUAUUUCCAUUGUGGUCCUUAAAACAAUGUAAAACGUAAAACAGGUUAACGGUAUGAGUGCAAGUUACUUCCUUGUUAAUAUUUUGGAUUAAAAUAGGUAAUGGAUAAUUAAUUCAAAUGCAAUGAUGGUAUUUAAGGUUUAUGGAUGACUAAUAACAAUUGUUUUCCUCAGCGCAUAUUUUAGAUAUAUAAGCUUUAAUAUAUUAAGAGGGGUUCAGUAGGACAUCGAAACAUAUUGUCAUUGAACAGCUGGAUGCAUGUACAUCAACAAUAAAUCUAUUCUAACUUACAAACGGCGGCUAAUUUGAAAUUCGAUAGCAGACAUACACAUAUUCAUUUUAUUGAAUUAAGGAAGUAGGUUACCUUAAUAUUUGUAUGUGCGCAUGUCCAAGCGGAAGCUAACGUGACGAUUUUAGACGACGAUUACGACAAACUAAAUGUGUUUGUAUAUUCAUUUUUCUGAAAAUUAAAUCACGAACCUGCCUCCGAUCAGAUGCUAAUUGGUUUAAUAACGCAAAAAUAAUGAAUAAAUUGCCGUAGAAACGGUUCAAAACAUUGUUGCCUUGAAAUGACGUCAUUGACGUCAUGACGUUACGUGUCAGUUACCGCGCAUAAUUACUAGCUUUUAUUCAGAAAGUACGUAAUUCUGUGCAUUUUCUUUUUUUGAACUAUUUUUAAACAGCCAUUAUUUGCUGAAAUAUUUUUAUGAGUCUUUCGCUCUGAAUAAUAAUCAAUAUUUUGCUCUUUUUUUUUUUGGAAACACGAGCCUCGCGACAUAUACGUAUUAAGCUUAUAUUAGAAAGUUAACGCGCAUACUAGUAAAAAUAUCAAUUAUGCAGACUUCUACGGAUAAUAAGGAAACCAAAAUACACUUAAAAGUAGUAAAUGUCCGUAUUUUCCUUCUUCUUUUUAUAUAAAAUACCUCCGAAGGGUCAUAUAUUUCAAGCCUGGAUAAAAAUUGUACUUGAAGUGACAGAUAUAAACGAAACUAAGUAUGUGGCAGUUAAAUAUUAAAUUACAUGAAAUACAGAAAAUUGCUGCGGUUCAACUAAUUUGAAUUUACCCUGGAAACAAGGUGAUAGCUCUCUAAAACACAUUCAAGUGUUUUACAUGUGUAGUAACGCGUUACUAUGGCUUCUUCAAGUGCGAACGAAACAAUCAUUCAGACAGACGAAGCAUAUGCAGACGCAGAAUCGCAACAAAAUCAUCAUCAUAUAGAAGUAGAGGUUAUAACAGAAAGGGAAGAUAAUGCUAAUAGACAAACCAAUCAGAAAGACGAAACAAAUGCAGACACAGAACAAAAUCAGCAUCCGAUAGAAGUAGAGGGUAUAACAGAAAGGGAAGAUGAUGUUAAUACAAGAACAAAAAAGAAACGAAGCAAGAAAAUUACCAUUGAGCGUCCGUCACAGAUUGAACAGAGACAGACGGCUGAGAAAGCGAACAAAGAUCGCCAUAAACCAUCAAAGUUGGCUGUAGGGACAAAAUGGCUGUUUACCUUCAUAUUCGGUGUUAUUCUUUUAGCAUGUCUAACACUAAGCAAGAUAUCGAUUCUUGUUUUAUCAGAGGCAAUGAACAAUGACCCAGACAUGAAUACAGAUUCAAGAUGCCGGUUGUUUGUAAAGUUGCAAAUACUUAUACUUGUGCCAAAUGUAUUUGCUUUUUUCAAAAGCGUCUGGGCAGGAACUUUUCGAAACGAUCUACCUAUGCCAUCCCUAAGAACUAUUCUUUAUGCUGUGCCAGUCUCGGUUUUCGAAUCAACUGGAUUGUGCCUACUUAUAUUCAAUAUCCCGGGACUGUGCAAGACACAAUAUAUUGUUUUGUUAAUGAACUGUGUAUUCUUUGUACCGUUGCUUGAUAACAUCGUUCGAAGUUGUAAGCAAACAAAUCGAAAAGAUAGAAAACGGACCCUUGGUUUAUUUGGUUCAGCUUUGUUUUUUGAGAUAGGAGGCAUUGCCUUUUCUGUUUACUUGGUGUGUCUUCAUGUUGCGUUGGAAAAACUGUGGAUGCCGAUAAUUGGAAUUUUAUUACUGUCUUUCGCUUGGACACCUUUUAAUUAUAGAGUUUUACUGGAAACAGAAAAUAGUGAUAGGAAAAACAACACAGAUAUACAACAAGACGGGAACACGUUACCUUUACAGGGAAUUAGAACUGUACAGGCCGACGACUCGCACAGUAGACCAACCCAAAACGCGACGCUGCAUGAUGUGAAAAGAAUCACAUGGAAAUUGACGCUAAUCAUGUCUUUUAUAAAAAUAUGUUCGACGUAUGGGAUAUCAAUGAUCUUGUUAAGUGAUGAUUCCAUUUCUCCAUUUCCGGAAAACAGUAGCGUUACAAUUGUCAAUUAUUCAAACGGCUGGAAACUGUCGAUUUGGGAGGAGGCCAGCAAUGGAGAAGUGUAUUAUUUUGUUGCACACAUUUGCAGUAGUUUCGUCAGUUAUUACGUUGGGUACAUGGCUUGUACCACCUGCAUGCAAAUUGGAGCGUUUGCACUUCCGCUUGUGUUAACAAUUGUUCCAUCACUUCUACUGCUGACAAUAAAAGGAAGCUGUGAGUCAAUAUUGUUGCGUAUUGGAAGCACAAAGGACAUAUAUGAUUGCAUCGUCUUUCCAGCUCAUACCAAACUAGACUUAGUUCUUUUAAUCCUUGCCGGAAGCUUUUUUUUGGUAGCACAAGUACUAUUCACAUUCUGUUUAAUAUGGGAAAAUGGCUCGCUGCUUAAACUCAAAGAGGAUCAGUUGUUUUGGCUACCGAUGUACACGCCAUCACUUCUUGAACAGUGGUUGAUGUUAAUAAGAAGGAAUGAGUUUAAUGACGAUAAGUAUAAGGAAAGAGUUAGGAACGGAAGCGAAGCAAAAGUCAUUAUCUGCACAACAAUGUUUAGAGAAGAUGAACAUGAAAUGAAGCAACUUUUGGAAUCAAUUUUUGGAGUUUUACAAACCAAAGAAAAGAAGCACUAUGAGUCACAUAUUAUAUUUGAUGGUGCUACAAAAGGUACCGAUCCAACGGAGCAUGCAUUACAGCUUAUUUACCUUAUUGAUGAAGUGUUCGAACUACCACCACAUACAUGUGAAAAAAGGAGAACGCCGUAUGGGAUGUCUCUUAAGUAUACCCUCAGGACAAAACUAGCAAAUAACCAAUACGAAACGAUGGACCUUACAGUUCACAUGAAAGAUAACAUAAAGGUUAAGAGUAAAAAGCGAUGGAGUCAAGUGAUGUAUAUGUCUUAUGUGUUAGAUCGGCGCCUCAAAGAAUUAGAUGAUACAGACGACGAAGAUGUCUUCAUUUUGACUACGGACGCUGACGUAAAAUUCACCUCAGAUUCAAUAGCCUACCUUCUUGAUUUGAUGGUUCGCGACGACAGUGUGGGCGCAGUAUGUGCGCGGACGUUUCCUCUUGGAAAUGGUCCAGUUGUUUGGUAUCAAGCUUUUGAGUAUGCGAUCGGUCAUUGGUUUCAGAAGGCAACAGAACACGUGAUUGGAUCCGUUCUCUGUUCGCCCGGAUGUUUUAGCGUGUACAGAUGUAAAGCAAUUCGAGAGGUUUUAACAACCUACGCAUCCGAUGUAGAGCAUGCAUUUGAUUUUCUUACAAAGGAUAUGGGAGAAGACAGAUGGCUUUGCACACUUAUGGUUCAAACUGGACGACGCAUUGAAUAUUGUGCUGCAUCAGAAAAUAGUACACAUUGUCCAGAGACAUUUGAUGAGUUUUUCAAACAAAGGAGGCGAUGGGUGGUUUCAACAUUAGCAAAUAUGAUGCUGCUGUUGCAGCAAUGGACCUUAGUUAAUGAAUUCAACCACCGUGUUUCAUUUUUGUUCCUGGCUUACCAAGCUGUCUUGCUGUUCGCUACCUUGAUCGGACCAAGUUCUGUCGUGUUGGUUAUAUGUGGUGGCUUGCAGUAUUCUUGGAACUGGAAUCCCGUUCUUACACUCAUUUUGCAGCUGAUGAUAUGUACAGGAUUCACUAUAAUAUGUCUUAUUACAUCAUCAAAAACUCAGCUUACCGUUGCGAAGAUCCUAACAUUUUUGUAUGCAGCCGUCAUGACAGCCGUCACAGUUGGAACAGCAUUGCAGAUCUCAAACGAUUUCAAUGGAUUGCCAGGAGCAGAGGCGAAUUUCAUAAGCCACGACAUCAAAAUAUCAACACCCACAGUAUAUCUUGCCACAGUAACCGGAAUAUUUCUUAUCACCGCUGUACUGCACUUGCAAGAAUGUAUAUAUGUUUUACAUGGGAUAUGGUACCUAAUGUGUCUACCAGCUGGAUAUCUGUUGUUAAUAAUAUACAGCAUCUGUAAUAUAACUGACAGAUCUUGGGGAACAAGGGAGGGAAAAUAUGGCUCUGAUUCUUCAACCGUUUAUGCAAACAUACGAAAUCAGAUUGCGAAAAACUUAAGAUCGAUAUUCAGCUGUUGCUUGCGAAAGCCUUCUGUAAAUGUCCAACUUCAAGAAACAAAAAGACAUAAGGAAUAUCUUCAAAUAGAGGAAGAAGUUAAAAAGACAGAAGACCCUAAGACAGGCGGCAAGGAAACAUCAGACACAAAUGAUGCUGUCGAAAACACUACACCGGAAGAUUAUGAAACAGUCAACGAAUGGUUACCAGCAGAAAUGACAAGUACGGUGAGAAAUUUAUAGAGAAUGGCUAUGAAAAUGAGAUGUUCAUAAGUUCAAUGACGGACAACGAUUUGCAAGAAAUCGGAAUUAAAGCUGACGGAGAAAGACUAACAUUACUUUUGAAAAUACGGACAUUACCAGAUUUUAAAAUAGCCCCAGAAAUUCCU
rnacentral:misc_RNA from 1 species